CGCAGCCAGCUGCGAGAUUUGGUGUGAAUUGCAGGACACAUUGAGCACUGAUUUUUCGAACGCACAUUGCGGCCUCGGGUCCUGCCCGGGGCCUCGCCUGUCUGAGGGUCGGAUAAGACUUGCCUAGGAGGUCUCCGUCUUCGGACGGUGCCUUCAAUUGGCCGCAUCGGACUUCUAACGGAGUUCGUCGGCUUAAGUAUUUGGAAGGAUCUCGGCCGUUCGACACGGGCAGCACAGCCACCUAGUGGAAGCUCGUCGAGUGGAUCAAGACCGACGUUCUUAUCCCGCGGACGAGACGUGGCUAUCAGAAGGCUGCCCUGUCACCGAACAUGGUGUCGCAGGUCCCGUCGUAGCCCCGCCGUAAGGCGGGACGCGACGAAAACCCUUCUCUUUUGUCGACCUCAGAUCAGACGAGAUGACCCGCUGAAUUUAAGCAUAUC
rnacentral:rRNA from 1 species